GAUGAACGCUGGCGGCGUGCUUAACACAUGCAAGUCGAACGGUGAAGGCGGAGCUUGCUCUGCUGGAUCAGUGGCGAACGGGUGAGUAACACGUGAGCAAUCUGCCCCUGACUCUGGGAUAAGCGCUGGAAACGGCGGCUAAUACUGGAUACGAGCUGCGAAGGCAUCUUCAGCAGCUGGAAAGAAUUUCGGUCAGGGAUGAGCUCACGGCCUAUCAGCUUGUUGGUGAGGUAAUGGCUCACCAAGGCGUCGACGGGUAGCCGGCCUGAGAGGGUGACCGGCCACACUGGGACUGAGACACGGCCCAGACUCCUACGGGAGGCAGCAGUGGGGAAUAUUGCACAAUGGGCGAAAGCCUGAUGCAGCAACGCCGCGUGAGGGACGACGGCCUUCGGGUUGUAAACCUCUUUUAGCAGGGAAGAAGCGAAAGUGACGGUACCUGCAGAAAAAGCGCCGGCUAACUACGUG
rnacentral:rRNA from 1 species